GGGCGACACAGGCUCCCCUUCAAGCCCUAGUUCCACUAAAAAUUGAUCAAUUGGAUGUUCAAUUCAGUCCCAAAUCAAGUUCUAAACACGAAUUAGUGAUCACCUCACUGAAGGGAUCAUAAGGCGCUUAACAAGCUAGGUGAAGCUUGGGAUGGAAGCGGGUCGAUCGAAGCAAGUGAGUAAAGAAAAGCGUAAUUCGGAUGCAAGGUACUUUUUGGAUGCCGGAAGACGAUCAAGCUCAACGAAGGACCGAAGACGAUAUAGUUACAUGCUUCCGCAUUUUGCCACGUUGUAAAUUUUAAACAACAAAUUUCGAUCACGUUAUGUAGAAUAAAUUAUAAAUUGUAAAAGUUUUAAUA